CCUAGUACAUAAUUUUCCAGUGUGUGUACGUUACACAUGCUAAUUUUUUCAAAUAAUUGUUUUGCUAUGAUUAUUGAAAUGCACUGAGUAUGAUGCAAUAUGGCAGCGUUAUUAUAGCCGUUAUGGCGAGGUGAUGUAUGAAAUGCUGUGAAAUUAGCUAACAUUACUUAGCAGUAACAGUAAUGUGACUUCACUCAAGUGAAAGCUUUAAACGUUAGCCCGAUACUUAACUAGCCAACUUAAGGCUUUCUGAUUAAAGACUAAAAGCAAAGUUAUCGCCAACUAAAUAGAAUACUGUUUAUAUUUUUGUCUAUGACUGGCAUUACGGUGCCUUUGGAAACACCUUAAGGGGCAAUCAUGGUAAUAAGAGGGACUGAUCCAUAUGUGCACAAAGAAUUGACAGUUUUUGUGCUACCGAAGUUCCCCGGCUUUCAUUCAAAAUCUGUUUAUCGUGAGCACCUACACAUUAAACAACUUAAACAUUAUUAUAAUGGCUUCAAGCUCGCACUGAGGCCUGUGUUUAACUAUCAGCCACUGUGACAGUAAACAAAUUUAUGUUUUUGUAUAUCAAUAUUUCAUACUUUAAGGCUGCCUGUUUAUUUAACGGAGAUGAAAAAAUACAUUACAAUUGUACCUAAAAAUAUCAAAGAUGAUAGAUUAAAUAAAUAGAUUUUAGGUAGAUGCUUGUGCAUUCUUAAAGUCUUAUAUGUUGAUUUGAACUGAGUGUGUCAUCUGUUCAAAGCCUCCCAGUCAGUGCUGUUCUCCAUGCCUGUCUUACUGUACGCGGUGCACAAACACUUUAAAGUUGAUCAUUUAGGACUUCAACAAUAAUAUUACAGGAAUGUAGUAAAACAAAAAAAACAUCUGUCUCCUACUUUUUGCGUCACUUUGGAAAGAAGCAUCAAUAUCUGCCCAUAGUCAUCUCACACCCAGACCUUCCCCUUUCCACCGCCAUCAGCAGCAUCUCGACCCCCGCAGCAGCCCGUGCCCAGGCCACGAUGCUGGGUGGCCGGGAGGUUCUUGUACACGGCCCGGCUGUAUGGAAUGAAACACAGGCCCAGCUGGAGGUGUCGGGCCAGACGACAGUAUGCAGCCAGCGCCAGGACUAGCAGAGGGGUGACCAAGAGGAAGCCCACCACCAGCAAAGCCACACAGCCUCCAUCGAAGGCUCCGCUCCCACAUAGUCGCUCACACGAAAACCUUGGCUGAUCUGCCGGCCGCCAUCACAAUCCAGAGGAUGACGUACUGUAUGCGGUAUGUGUGUAUGAGAUCCUGGUUAAUCCUUUUCUAAGCUGGUGUCACAUGAGGUCUUACUGUGAGAGAACAUGAGAGAAUCCUGGUCCCUCUGGUUAUUAAGGAGGCCUACACAAGUGCCAUUGAGUGACAGAGGAAGCCAAACACAACCAUGACGAUGGCUGGUGUCAGGAUGAUCCCGAACACCAGUCCAGCGAGGCACGCGUUGAUUGCGGCGAUCAGCACGUUCUGAG